rnacentral:lncRNA from 10 species
UCAUUAACUAUUCCCGAUAAAUUGACAAAAUCAAGCUCACAGUGGUAGACAGCUGAUUCUCAGUGGAAAAGGACAAAGGAUCCGUCAGACAUGUCUGGUGAUACUGUAAAUCAGCAUAACCUUUGAUGGGACACAGUCACGCAAAAUGUGACAACCAUAAAAUUCUGACCAGCAAUUCCACUUUUGAAAACAGCCCCAAAGAGACAGGACAAAGCCAUGUAGGAAGUGCCUUUUGCCUCCCACCAUGAUUCUGAGGCCUCCCCAGCCAUUGGAACUGAAACUCCACAAAAAUUAUGGCAAAGAUAUAGAACCACAAGACAAAACAAAUGGGAAGAGGCAACAGCAAAUAAGAGAUGUCAACAAAUCUUUGGAAAAAGAGAAAUGAAUCAAGCCAUAACUGAACUGGUAAAGAUGAGAAAGCAGAAACCUAGAAAUGCCUAAUAAGGUUGCCAACAAUAAGCAAACAUAAUUAUGCCACGGAAUCUCAUACGGCUCAGGAUUUGAGACACUAGACAUCAUCAAUUUCCUUUAACGUUUGCGGAGCCAGGAUCCGCGACCGUCCAAGCUACUGAUCGCCGUCCUGAUCCAUUGGUUGGGAAAGAGAUUGGAAACAUCACCACAAAACAUGCUGCAAACCCCGACUCGGACUCCGCUGGGGCUGAACCAAUGCCCCCACACAGCCCCGACUCCCUCCCCAGCAACCGGCCGCCCCUCUCGCGACCAGCCAUUUUCCAGGCCUGUGUUAGUCCAUUCUUGCAUUACGAUAAAGAAAUGCCCGAGGCUGGGUAAAGAAAAGAGGUUUGAUUGGCUCAUAGUUCUGCAGGCUGUACAGGAAGUAUAGCAGCAUCUGCUUCUGGGUGGGCCUCAGGAGGCUUCCAAUCAUGGCAGAAGACAAAGGGAAAGCAGGCACAUCACAUGGUGAAAGGAGGAGCAAGAGAGAGGGAUAGUGAGGGGGAGGUGCCACACAAGCAACUAGGUCUCAUGAGAACUCACUAUUAGGAAGACAGCACAAAGCCAUGAUGGAUCCACCCCCAUGACCCAAACACCUCCCACCAGGCCCCACCUCUGCCUCCAACACUGGGGAUUAAAUUUCAAAAUGAGAUUUGGGCAGGGACAAAUAUCCAAACUAUAUCACCACAUGAGAAUCAAAGCAUCCGUUUCCCUGAACAACACAGAGCACAGAAGCCACCUACCUACCUUCUCAGGAGAGGAUGACAGAAUCAAAGCCAAGGUUUACAAAAAUCAAAACCCCUACCAGAAAGGGGUUUUGUCCCUGAGACUAACCACUGCCUCUGACACAGAUCUGCCCCAAAGCUGGGACAAGGGAUACAUCACUGUUAGUCUGUUUUCACAUUGCUAUAGAUACAACCUGAGAGUGGGUAAUUUAUAAAGAAAAUAAUUUAAUUGAUUCACAGUUCCACAUGGCUGGGGAGGCCUCAGGAAACUUAUAAUCAUGGUGGAAGGUGAAGGGGAAGCAAAGGCACACGUUACAUGGCGGCAUUAGCGAGCGUGCUAGAGGGAGGCGGGGAAGUGCCUCACUUUAAAACCAUCAGCUGUCAUGAGAACUCACUCACUAUCACAAGAACAGCAGAGGAGAAAUCUGCCCCCGUGAUCCAAUCAUCUCCCACCAGGCCCCUCCUCUGACAUGUGGGGAUUACAAUUCGAGAUGAGAUUUGGGUGGGGACACAGAGCCAAACCAUAUCAAUCCCACACUGGUAACUGCAAUCUUUUCCUUCAUUCCUUGGAAGUCUGCAGGAUAUGUAAGGUGAAAGGGAAGAGUGAGUUAAUCUGUUACAAAGUAAAGCCUGUCAUAAGGUGGAAUAUGAGAGCUGAUUUAAAACAUACAUGUACUCUGUAUUUAUCCUAAGGGUCCAAAGGAGCAGAUAAAAAUAAAUCAAGGUCUAGGGCUACGUGGUAUGGAACCACCAGAUCCAAACACAACCUGCACUAUUAUUGGGGUGCUUAUUAUAAUGCAUGAAUGGAAAUCAGUCUUGGCCAAGUAGAGCUAAAGCCAGAGAGCACAGGACUCAUAUUGCAAUUUGUCAAAGAAUUUUGAAAAAAUCAAAAGACAGUUGACACAGAUGGCCAUUACAUCUUGCUAUAUGGAUAAACUAAAAAACCAAAAGAUAUGUAUGCACACAGAAGGUAUCCUGAAGACACUAAGAAUAUAAACAUCCCAUUAACCAAGUUGGGAUGAAGCUUUCUUUCUUGGAAGAUUAUGUGUACUCUUCAUUUUGUUAUCAUUGUGUGUGUGUGUAUUGUUGUUGUUGUUGCUGCUGUUGUUUUGUGAGAACAAUUCUGUAAGAUUCUACAUUAACUACAACAAGGACGUUUUGUGUUCUGCUUUUGUAAUAUAGAUUUUACGUUGAAGAUUACUUAUAGUUAUAUUUGUGGAAAAUGUCUUGCUUAUUCUAGGUCAUAGAACGCUGAGUUCAGACUUUGGCUUAGAAUGUAGAAAACUGCAAGAGAAUGUAUGUCACUUCUACACUAACAACAAAAGCCAGAUUACGUACACAUAUAGUUUGGUGGCCUGUGUUCCUCUUAGUAGUCAUGCUCCAAAGAGGGUGACUACAGGGUACAUUGAGGGUGGCCAG